rnacentral:rRNA from 1 species
GAUGAACGCUAGCGGGAGGCCUAACACAUGCAAGCCGAGCGGGAUUUGUUGGUUAGCUUGCUAACUAACAAUGAGAGCGGCGUACGGGUGCGUAGCACGUGUGCAACCUGCCUUUAUCUGGGGGAUAGCCUUUCGAAAGGAAGAUUAAUACCCCAUAACAUAUUGAUUGGCAUCAGUUAAUAUUGAAAGCUCCGGCGGAUAGAGAUGGGCACGCGUAAGAUUAGCUAGUUGGUGAGGUAACGGCUCACCAAGGCUGCGAUCUUUAGGGGGCCUGAGAGGGUGAUCCCCCACACUGGUACUGAGACACGGACCAGACUCCUACGGGAGGCAGCAGUGAGGAAUAUUGAACAAUGGGUGAGAGCCUGAUCCAGCCAUCCCGCGUGAAGGACUAAGGACCUAUGGUUUGUAAACUUCUUUUAUACAGGGAUAAACCUACUCUCGUGAGGGUAGCUGAAGGUACUGUAUGAAUAAGCACCGGCUAACUCCGUG